rnacentral:rRNA from 1 species
AGUGAACGCUGGCGGUAGGCCUAACACAUGCAAGUCGAACGGCAGCACAGGAGAGCUUGCUCUCUGGGUGGCGAGUGGCGGACGGGUGAGGAAUACAUCGGAAUCUACUUUUUCGUGGGGGAUAACGUAGGGAAACUUACGCUAAUACCGCAUACGACCUACGGGUGAAAGCAGGGGAUCUUCGGACCUUGCGCGAUUGAAUGAGCCGAUGUCGGAUUAGCUAGUUGGCGGGGUAAAGGCCCACCAAGGAGACGAUCCGUAGGUGGUCUGAGAGGAUGAUGAGCCAAACUGGAACUGAGACACGGUCCAGAAUCCUACGGGAGGCAGCAGUGUGGAAUAUUGGACAAGGGGCGCAAGCCUGAUCCAGCCAUACCGCGUGGGUGAAGAAGGCCUUCGGGUUGUAAAGCCCUUUUGUUGGGAAAGAAAUCCAGCUGGUUAAUACCCGGUUGGGAUGACGGUACCCAAAGAAUAAGCACCGGCUAACUUCGUGCCAGCCGCCGCCGUAA